rnacentral:rRNA from 1 species
CAGUCAUACCAACGGGAAAUCAACCUUUUGAGCUCGGUCUCGUGGGUUUUGAAGAGUUUCAAAGCCUUCGGAUUCGCGGGAUUGGGAUCUCUUGGCCGUACUUUUUUCGAACGGUUAGUCAACAUCAGCUUUGAAUGUCAUAAAAUGACUGGAGGAAUGUAGCUUCGAUCUCGUAUUGAAGUGUUAUAGCCUUUUGGGAAUGUGAUUGUUUGAGCCGAGGAUUGCAACGGAUACCCUUNAGGCUAUCGUCUGAUC